rnacentral:rRNA from 1 species
CCGCCUGUCACACCAUGGGAGUCGAUUGCUCCAGAAGUGCCUGAGCCAACCGCAAGGAGGCAGGGCCCCAAGGAGUGAUCGGUAACUGGGGUG